UUUUUUUUUGUAAUUCAUUUCUUUUCCUUAAAACAUUGGGGACAAUGUUUCAUUCAAGUAUGGGGGGGAAAACCGUGUUCUUUCUAUCCUCUUUUUUUUCUUUUUCAGUUUAAGUGUACUUGCCUUUAGUGUUAUUCUCUUUAAAUAUAAUAUUAUAUAUAUAUAUAUAUAUUAUAUAUAUGAUGAUUAUAUAUAUUAUUAAUUAAAAUAUAUUCUAUAUAUAAGAGUGUAUUUAAGUUAAUCCAAAAUGUGAAAACUCUUCUAUUAUCAUUCCCUCAAUUUUCAUGAGCAUACAACCACAAUGCAACACAUAUAAGUAGUUAAAUCGUAUUAUGAAAAAUUAUGUAGGAAACAUAGCAAAAUUAUUACCCAUAACAACUCUCUAAGAACUCAACAUGUUAGAUCAGGAUAAGUACCUAUUAUACCCAUCCCUGAACUUUUGUUUUAUAGUUAACCCGAUAGUUUACACGAGAAGCAGCACCACUAAUAGCAAACUACGUGGAGGGCCGAUGCAUAUAAGUGAAUGAUUCCCAAAGUAAAUAAAAAAUAUAUAAUAUAUAUAUAUAAUCAGGAAUGCACUAAUUAAGUAGGUGUCCUUACCAGUCAUUUAAUCUAAAGGUUGCAGAUCAUACAAAGCAUAUAUGAAAGAUCCAUUAUGAGUUGGUCAGCAGGUAUCUGGUACUGAACUUGGUACGGCGGACUACGUCCGAUCCCCCGCAAUUUGCAAUGGACUGAAAACGAAGUUAAUCGACUUAUGUACCGAAUUUAGCUAAAAGGGAUCGAAUCACUAACGGUUAACUCACUAGUGCGUGAAAUAAGGCUAAUUAUUUCGCUAGAAGAACGGGUGAAAAAAGUAAAGGAACUAGAAGCUAUAAUGGCAAUUAUCGACUGGUUGCAUAAGGUGGGUAUCUAGGUUGUGACGGUGGUUGUUGAUGUCAAGAUUAAUCUCAAGUUACUUCUAAACAGGUUACAUGCACCUAGUACGAAUUGUGUGUUUUGAAAUUUCAUCUAAAUUUUUUAAAACAAGUUAUAUACUGUAUUUGCUGAGGACAACAAAGUCUAAGCAUGGGGGAGUUUGCUAUGAAUAGUAUCACAUUCUAGACUCAAUUUAAUUAAAUUAUAUAUUAUUUACUUCAAUUUAUUUCAUUUUAUCAGAUUACGCGGUAUUUUCUUUUAUUUAUCUCAGGUGUUUAUUAGAAGCACAUAAGAGAAGAGAAAGGAGGUACAAAAAGAAUGAAAGAAGCAAAUAUCAAAGGCCAAAGCCCAGCCCAAAGGCACAGGCGCUGUGCUGUGACGAGCGUCAGCAAAGGCGUGAACGACGUCACCUUUACACACUCUGUGCGAGCCACACUGGUGCGGACGUCACACCAUUCCCUAUAUUUUUGCACAGGAACGCAACAGACCACGUUGAUAGCUACUCUUGGCACACGCCUUGACGACCUUGAACGUAAAGACCAUGUACCGGAAACCUGAGACAGUUACAAAAGUGUCUAGUUAUGAAAUAGUGCUUUUUGAAAGCUCUGUGUCCCACGCUUCUUCGCGCGUUUCUAUAUUUCGCAAUUUUUCUUUCCAGCAGUACGCACAUUUACAACAUUGCUUUACGAUUUUAUAUUGUUUCCUUUGCAUUUCUAUUUCUUUUGCAGCACUUAGUUAAUUCUUUUUCGCACAAUAGUUUUCUACACGGAAACUAUUGUGACUUUCACCGGAUCUACUUACGUUAGAAUCUAGUUUUUUUACUUCUUCACUUUAUUUUCUGUUGAUUGAAGAAUUCAAGAACAAAUCCAACCGCCUGUGGUGGAGUGUCAAGACUGCUAUUUAAUUUCUCAGGUUCUUUAAUUAUUGUUUGAAUUUAUAUAUGCCCUGCUUACGUUUAUUUAUAUUAUUGCCUGAGAUGAAUCUGUGUUAUGCAUGAUAAUUAUUUAAGUCUGUUUAGCAUGUUGGCUGAUUUUUAGGUAGUCGUAGUAAAGUAAGCGAGAUAAGGAAUCAAAACCAAUUGGUUUAUAAGUUUAUCAUAAAAUCACUCUUUUUACUCUAAUUUACAGGUUUAAUAACAGGUUUUGUACACGAAAGUAAGACAUAGAAGUAAAAGCAAUAGAGCGAGAGUUUUAGUUUUGACUGAGUUAAUUGACAUAAUUCUAGAUCAGGGGCGAGAGCAAGUUUUAGAGUUAAUUAAAUUCUAAUUUUUUCAAAAGUUAAAUUUUUAUAAGAUUGAAUGUGAGGAAGAGUUAAGCAUUUGAAUUUAAUUAUAACUAAGUCAACAGAGCGAGAGUUUGAGAUAAGGUGUUAAACGAAUUAGUGUUUCUAAAAAGAGUUCUACGGAUCCUAUGUUUUAAAUGGUUUUUGACUUAAUUAUAACUGACAGCUACGUUAAUAUAAAUAUAGUUUAUUCAACAGAGCGAAGUUUGAAGAUAAGACUUUACUCAAUAGUGUCAACUGAAAAGAUUUAUUUUAAAACCAAGAAACGACGAAGUAAUUGAUUCCCUAAUUCGACGAUACAUACCGAUAUCCGCUUAUUAGAUAUUUUUUUAGAUCUUAUUUUAGUUUUAGUUUUUCCCCCAAAACAAAUCAAGUAUUACCUGCUUAGCUUUACGAAGUAACUUAAUAAGGGAUAGUCGAUCAUAAGUCCCUGUGGGAUCGAUAUCUUUUAAAACUACGCGAUAGAACUGUGCACUUGCAGUUUGUACCCCAAAUUCGACUCAUAAAGUCGCGAUCACAUCCUAGUGGUAGAAGCGCACGCCUUAAGUCACCUGUAAGAAAAAGGUCUGGGGGUUCGAACCUGGCCAAUGUAAUGUUUACUUCUCUCAUUUUGUUUAAAUGUCCAUUCUUUAUACAAACUUCAAAAACCCAUAACUUCAUGAUCCCUUAACCUUUUUGACCCAUUCUUUUUGCUAUGUGUUCAUAAGAAUGUCUAUUUUAUGAUGAUACCAAAAAAUGAAAAAAAUAUUAUUUAUUUCACCACUUUUGAUUGGAUGGAAAACAUGUGCUUUUUUAAGUGUUUUUUUAAGGAUCCUAAUCAACUCCUUUGGUUCAUCUCUUGUUUUUUCUUGUUGUUGAAUGUUUGUAUGAUUAUAGAACACUCUUUCAAGUGUUGAUUGUUGUCCUUAACAUGUUUAAACUUGAUUAUUUUCAUAUCAUGUCUAAAUUGAUUCACCUUGAAAACAUGUUUGAAUGAAUGGUUAGGAGAUGAUUAGGGUUUCCACUUGCUUGUUUCUUAUUCAUGCCAUGAUAAUUUUCAUAUCAUGUCUAAAUUGAUUCACCUUGAAAACAUGUUUGAAUGAAUGGUUAGGAGAUGAUUAGGGUUUCCACUUGCUUGUUUCUUAUUCAUGCCAUGAUUAGGGUUUAGGUCUAAACUUGUACCUAACAUCCUCUUGCCUCUUGUUUAACUUGUAUGCAUAGUGAUCCACUUAGGAUUUUCCUUUGUCUAUACCAUGUUCAUGUGAUUCAUGUUUGAAUAUCCUUCUCUUGUCACAACUUAACUUGACAACAAUAUAUCUUGAUUAUGAUACUUGUCUUAUGUGGUUUGAUACCUUUGUGUUGAGUAAUGUACACUUGUUUAAAUCAUGUCUUGUAAUUCUAUCUCAAUUUGUGAUGUUAUAUCAGUAUCUUGUAAUUGUUUAUCACUUCAUUCAAGUAUUUCCUUUAUAAACUCCCAUGAUGAUUGAAUAUGUAUCUCAUACUUGUUUUGGUGUAAGCCUUAGAGGUUAAUACUUUUGGUACUUGUAUCAAAUUAUUUAUGAAUAAUAAAAGGAUUUUUCUUUAUUAUGUUUGUUUAAUAAAGUCCCUAGAAUAGCUAGUCCGUUUAAUGUAUCAAGUGUGACAUAAUCAUGAGAUCCCGUUAAACAUAAGGACAUUGUUCUUAAAGUAUCCACAACCGAGCUUUGUUGUGAAGUGGGAUAACAUUAAAUCAUUAAGACUAUUAUGUAUAUAGACUGAUGAUCACAUCUCAUAGAUCAUGGAUAAGGAGUUAUCAAGUCUUAAACAUAAGUGUGAAUAUUAGGAGUAAUAUUUAUACUGGAUUGACCCGCUAUGAGAAUACUAUAUAGAAUGUUAUGCAAAGUGUCAUAAGUUAUUCUCAUGGUGAUAGUUGUGUAUACCACCCUUCAACUUGAAACCACUAUGGACCCUAGAUGUAGAGUCGAGUGCUUUAUUUCUGAUCAAACAUUGUCCGUAACUGGAUGACCAUAAAGAUAGUUGAUGGGUACUCCACGAAGCAUGUUAAGGGACAUGAGUGACCUAGAUGGAAUUUUCCCAUCCUAUGUAACAAGAUAAAUGUCUAAGGGCCCAAUAUUGAAAUGGACAAGGAUGACACGGUCUAUGACUUAUGUUCAAUAUAGACAUAAGGGAAAAGGGGUAAUAAUACACAUAAAUAUCAUCAUAAAAGGAUUUGUAAGAUCAUAUGACAUUUUCGUGCCUUGGGUAGCAGUGAUGUGUUGCUAGAUACCGCUCACUAUUAUUAUGAUAAAUAUGUGAUUUAAUAUAAUUGCCAAUGUUGUGAAAACCUACAAGGUCACACACAAAAGGACUGAUUGAUGAGAGAUAGAGUAAAUAAGGAACACCGUAAGGUACGGUGCACUUAAGUGAAUUGUAGAACAUCGUAAGGUAUGAUGCACUUAAGUAGAAUACGAAAUAUGGUAAAGUACCACACGCUUAAGUGAUUUUGGUAUAUCAUAAGAUAUGGGCCACAUACACUUAAGUGGGCUUUUUAGCUUGCAAUCCACACAAGUGGUUCUAUAAAUAGAACCCUUGUGCAGAAGCAUUUAACUAGAUGAAAAAUUCAUUUCUCUCUCUCUCUCUCUCUCUCUCUCUUACACACACACUCAAAGCCUUCAUUCGUAGCAACUAUCACUGAGAUUGAAGGAAACCGUUCGUGUGGACUGAGUAGAGGCGUUGUCACCAUUCAACGUUUGUGAUCACUCAUUAGAUAUGCAUCAAAGGAUUCAAUCGCCACAAGAGGUUAUGAUUUCUAUCACUAAUCAUGCUCAUUCGUAAGGAUCACUAAAGGAGAAAAUUUUAAAUUCCACUGCGUUUUGGAUCGCUAUUCUCCUUCAACUUUUUCACGUGCUAUCUCUUGUGGUGUUAUGUAAACCUUUAUAAUAUCUUGUUUAUGAUCAUCAUACUUCAAAAACAUGUAAGUAGCUUGUUCAUGGCUUACUAAUUUUUGUAUCUUUAUGUACCUAAAUCCAAGGGAAAGGAUCUUAUGUUGACUUCUUAGUCAUAUAUUGUUUGUUUGUUUGUUGACUUUGUUUGUCCAUUCAUGCAUUAACCCUACCCCUUUUUCAAACUAAAACACCCAUUCAAACCUUGACUUACCUUUAGUCAAUGGAUCUUUCAACUACACUUGAAAAUGCUUUAGUACACAUGAAGCAUUUCAAACACAACCUUUGACUUACUUUUAGUCAAUGGAUCUUUCAAUUACAAAUGCUUUAGUACACAUGAAGCAUCUCAACUCAAACUUUGACUUACCUUUAGUCAAGUAACACUUUCCAAAAACAUUUUUUUAACCCCUUUUAUUCUCCCAUAAAAAAAGGCAAAAAACUCUUAAAAACAUAGAUAAAAUCAAAAGGUUCAUAUAGAGUACUGUAGAUGUUUAGGAUGCUAAUACCUUCCCUUUGCAUAACCAACCCCCGUACAUUCGAUCUCUACUUGCUUUGCUCCUAGUUUUACUAUUUGCUAUGCAUGUUUAUUUUGGGUUUAUUUUGAAUAUUUUCCCCUUCCUUUGGAAAAAUAAAAGUUCGGUGGUGAUAUCAAUGUUUUGCGAGUCAAGUUAAUCAAAUAGCAUGGUCUCUGAUUCUCACCGUGACAUGUAGGUAAUAAAUCGUGAAAGAUAUGAGUGGUUCCCUAAGACGGAAGGAGGAAUAAUUAGGAUUAUCCUCGCCAAGGAUCCGCAUCCUCGUGCCUAUGUAUUCUCAUUGUGCAAUGAGAAAGUUAGAGCAAUCGUAGUUCGUGGAACUACGAAAACAAAGAAAGAGAUUGAGAGUGAUGAAAAUUAUAACUCGUACCAACAUAAUGGUAACAUGGGAAUCCAUAAAGGCAAAUUGGCUUUGAAUCAAAGAGUAAACAGACAGACCGAGAAGUGAGGGGCCCGAGACAUGGUAUCACUGUCGUGGAAUAACUGGAAACAAAGAGGAUUAAAUGUCUGGCAAUAAGUCAAACAACUCUUGAUUCACAAGGUGGAUUAUUCAUUAGGCGUCCUAAAAGGAUGAGAAUGGAACCCAAAAGGAAGUAUUGGUUGGCACAAGGAAAAGGUAUAUCACUUGCCAGGGAACAAACAAUUUGAGAUCAAAGAGAAAAAGUAUCUUAGGUCCAUGAAGAAAUAAACUAUGAACUGAAGAGUAAAGGUAAACCAACAAGUGAUGGGCCCGAGGCAUGGUAUCGCUGUAGUGUAAUAACCAAAAACAAAGGAAUUAAAUAUUUGGGUACAAGCCAAACAACUCUUGGUUCACGAGGCGGACUAUUCAUUAGGCGUCCUAAAAGGAUGAGCAUGGAAACCAAGGAAGAGUAUAUUUAAUCUCAAAAAGACGGUAUUAAUUGAGGAAAAAAUGAUGGAUUGAUAAAUAAGAUAGCUCGCGAAGAAACUGGGUUAUCCUGCCUACGUAUCCUUAUAGUGCAAUAAGGAAAUCAGAGCAAUCGUAGUUCAACCUACUAAGGCUGAAAACAAAAUGAUUUAGGAUGGCAAGAGGAGAUGAUUGAAUGAUUGAAAGGGUGGAAUAUACUUGAUAGUUAUUUGGUAAGAACCACACUAAAGUCUAUGAGUAAAGGUGGAUACAAUAGGUAAGAGGACAAACAUCCUGCACCCAAAGAUAUCUAGAAUGAGUGUAGGAAAGCUCCAGUCUCAUUCCUUCUUUACUACUUAAGGCUCGUGGCAUGUAAUUCUCAUCUUAACUUUCAAGUUGAUAGAGAAGAGUCUUUGUUGUUGUUUCUUGUAAUGAUGAUGAAAACCUUAUCAAUCGUUCGAUUUGAAUUGCACGAAAGUCUAUGAAUGAAAGUGAAUACAAUGAGCAACUGAGUCAAGCGUCCCGUAUCCAAAGAUAUUCAGAAUGGGGUUAGGAAUUCUCCAGUCCCAUUCCUUCUCCAUUGCUUAAGGAUUGUGUCAUACAACUUGAAUCAUGAUUGAUAAGUUGUUGAUGUAGUCCUUUGUUUGCUGCAUUGCUUUGUGAAGAGAGGGAGACUUGUCAAUCAUAUGAUUAGAAUUAUGCUAAAGUCUAUGAAUAGAGAUGAAUACGAUGAGCAUUGGGUCAUUCAUCCCAUACCCAAAGAUAUUCAGAAUGGGGGUAGGAAUUCUCUAGUCCUAUUCCUUCUCUAUUACUUAAGGCUUAUACCGCAUAAUUCUAACUUUGAUUUAACAAGCUCUUGCAGAUUCCACCUUUGAUGUACUUGUAUUAUCCACUGCUUGGUAUGACUAAGGAUGCCUUGAUUGAGAAUUUAACUUGAGGCUUCGAGCUCCACAACUUACGGACAUCAUAUACCUUGAACUCUAUAGGACAGUCGUCCACCAUAUUGACAGAAGGAUCACCAUGAGCGGGUAAUGGGUUAGCUUUGACAUUGGGCGCACGGUCCUCAAAGGACACCGUUCCACUUUUGACCAACUUUUGUACUUCAUAUUUCAGGGGAUAACAGUUCUCGAUAUCAUGACGGGGAGCUCCUUGGUGAAAUGCACAGUGAAGCUCUGGUUUAUACCACCAUGGAAGUGGUUCUGGAAUCUAUGGAGGAUUUCUUGGUUGAAGAAGGUUCUUGAGAACCAAUGAUGGAUACAAUUCAGCAUAAGUCAUAUGAAUAGGGUAGAAAGAGACCUUCUUCCUCUCAAAGUUUUGUUGUUGUUGACUAUUGUUGUUGUUGUUGUUGUUGUAGUUGUUUGAUCUUUGUUGUGGCUGUUGUUGAUGUUGUUGUUUAAUUGGUGUUGAUUGAUUACUGGAAAAUACUGGGAUGACAGAUGAUACUUGAUGAUGGUGUUGACGGGGUUGUGGACUCCUUCUGACAUAAGGCCUCCUCUUCCUCCCAACCGAUACUGCAUUAGUCUCGCCUUCUUUCUUUCUGGCAAACCCACUGCCGUACUUCUUGCUUGACAAAACCUCCUCUUUAGACAACCGUCCCUCUCGGACACCUUCUUCUAAUCUCAUCCCCAUAUUUACCAUCUCAGUAAAAUCACUGGGGGCACUAGGAAUCACCUGUUCAUAGUAAAACAAGCUCAGGGUCUUGAGAAAAAUCUUGGUCAUCUCCUUUUCUUCUAAAGAAGGGUUGAUCUGAGCAGCAAGCUCUUUCCAUCACUAAGCGUACUCUUUAAACGUCUCCUUGUCCUUUUGAGACAUCGACCUCAACUGAUCCCUAUCCGGCGCCAUAUCCAUAUUAUACCUGUACUGCUUCACGAAAGCCUCACCCAACUCAUUAAACGUGCAGACACUUACACUAUUCAAACCCAUGUACCACCUCAAAGCGGCACCAUUCAGACUGUCUUGGAAAUAAUGAAUCAGUAACUGAUCAUUAUCAAUUUGCAUUGACAUCUUUGUAGCAUACAUGACGAGAUGACUGAGUGGAUAGAUAUUCCGUUUAUACUUUUCAAAGUCGAAGACUUUGAACUUCAUCGGGAUCUUAACAUUGGGAACCAAGCAAAGUUCCGCAACACUCUUACCAAACAAAUCCUUUCCCCUCAAGGUCUUCAACUCCUUUCGCAGCUCAAGGAAUUGGUAUUUCAUUUCAUCCAUCUUCUCAUAAAUAUCUGAACCCUCAAACGGCUCAGAAUGGUAGAUGGUGUCUUCAACACGAGGCAGCGUGUGAACAACCGGUGGCGGCAUAGACAUGACCGGACUAGAUAUCGGCAUGGAAGCAAAGGUAGGUGCAAAACCCUCGGGCACAAAGUUGGAUGGCAUUCCCCACGGGAAUUCGGCAGGCAUAGCGGGAGCGAACUGAGUAGCAGGCACGGCUGAAGUAACAACCUCUGAAAUGACAGUCCUCUGAGGAGGAGGAGUUGUAGGCGUUGGAGAAGAUUGACUAUGAGUAGCUAAGACUGACUCCGUCAUGGCAGUCAGGCGGGAAAUCUCGUCCUUCAGCUCUCGGUUCUCUUGCUCUAAGUGUUCCAUGAUUCCCAGAUGAUUGGCGCGGGUAUUGUAUCGAUGAGUUAGCUUGGCUGAAGCACAGAAGAAUAACCAAUGAGACAUCUGGCGGAAGAAAAACCUGCUAUGAAAAUGAUACAUGAAAUUUAAUGCUUUGAUUGUUUUUUAUUUUCAAGGAACAUACUAUUUUAUUUGCAAAUAUAUAAUAAUAACAAUUGCACAAUCUUGAUUGACCAUAAAAAUAUCUUUUAUUUAUAUAAUUGGAAGGAUUACACUGAGUACAAUUUCAGAAACCAAAUUACAAAUACAAGAGGAAAGGAAACUAGUCAUCCUAAGGAUCUCCUAACAACAGUGUCAGAUGAUCUGGUUGCAGGAGCGUACUUCCUUCGGAUGCGUCGGAUCUCGGACUCAAAAGAAGUCUUCAUCUGAGUCUUCUCAAGGACAAGCUAAUCAACAAUCUUCUUCCAAACAACGGAAGGCUAAGGCAUACUAGAGGAAGAUGAAACCUCGAGCUCUCUCUGUCUUUUCACUACUCGGUUUUCAAGAAGCUCGAUAAGUCAAUCUUUGUCCUUAGACUCAAGCUGCAACUUCUCAUGCUUUCUGCUCAAAGCAUGAAACUGCUCUUCCCAUAUAGCCCUUUUUUGUGUGCAUAUGUGUUUUUGUACAAAAUAAUAUUUGCAAUAAAUAGAGUGGAUGGAUGAGAAAAGAAUUCAUUAGUUAUAUUUUUGUGUUUGACAAGACCUUCGGACUUGUGCCUACGUACCAACAUAAAAAUAAGGGAUCAAAACCUCGUAGUUCAUGGUAACAAUUUCAAAGUGAAUGAGUUGCUUUUAACAAAAAUUUAAGUUUAAGAGAGGCACAAGAGGCCUAAAAAGGUUUGAAUGAGUGUUAGUUUUUUUUGUCUUUUGAAAUUUUAAGUCAAGUAUAGUUAAGUUCAUUUACAAAUUUUGAUUUAGAAAAGAGUUUAAAAAUGCAAUGGCAUAAGGCCAAAGUUUCUAAUUUGCAAUAAAGUCAAAGUUUUGAAAUCAUAAGCAAAGAAGAUUUUUGAAAGGAGGGAGAUAUUUGAAAAUAAAGAAGUGGGAGGAGAUGAAGAGACUAAUCCUAAGCAAAAAUUUAAAAGUUAAGAAUUGAAAAGACUUGACCAAUGGGAUGCAAUCCAAUAGACAAGAAUGUCAUAUAGAAACCCAAAUUUCCCUUGGACUUUAGAAUCAAUCAAUAUCAAUACACAAAUAGCAAGAUGAAGAGCAAGGCAUCAAAUAAAAAUAGCCACAUCCAAGCUUAGCAACUCCAUGAUCUUCUUCAUAAUCUUCCAUGUAUCAGAUGACAUAAGCCUUGAAUGGCUCAGAGAUAGGCAUUAGACACAGGUUCAAAGUAACAACUUUAGUAAGACCAUGUAGCAGAUGAACUCAAAUGGGAUCCCAAAACUUGCAUCAGAUGACAAUUCACUUCAUAAGCACUUGGUUUUAGAAACAAAUUGGCAUUGGCCAAGUCCUUUUGCAUAGGGAGUGUUGCCUAAUUCUAAGUCCAAUGUCUCAGAUCAAAUCCAACAGUGUACACAAGUGUCUUUUAAGGUUUUUGCUGUUAUUAUGCACAUUAAGGUCAAAAGACCACAAACAAAAUACACAAACAAGUAUAUACAAUCACAAUGUAUUCACAAGAUAUGGCUCAAGUGAGCAAAGUGAAAAUGGCAUUAAAAUAAAUAAAUUAAAUGGUAUGAAUAAUGACAAAUGGAUAAAGACUUGAAUUUAAAGUGCAUAAAAGUAAAUGGCUUGAAAUUAAAUGUUAGUUGAUGUUAGUUAAUUAGAAGUUAGUAUUGCUUUUGCUUUUCAAUUGUUUAAAUCAUUCUUUGGAGAACACUCAACCCACUAUUAACAAGCAUGAAUCCUUGAACCAAUACAUCUUCCAAAGGAAGGAAAAAGGCCAAGUUUCCACACAAUACCAUGAAAGGGUGGAGACUUACAAUCUCACUUACUAGAAUGAUAUGCCUUUUGUGUCAAAAUUUAGUGCUAUGUUAAGCAGUUGUAAUUGGACUUAUGUAGAAGUCACAACUAUUUAAGGUCAGGCAAUAGAAAUUUUAGUAUUAAUGCAUGUUAGAGAUAUGGUAUUAUGAAUCAUACUCCUAAAACAUACCACACUCAAAAGGAAAUGGAAAAAGGGUGGACCUAAUCUCAUCCAUACUUAUGUUGAUUUUGUAAUCAACUAGCCUUAGGAUAUAGAGAUAUCAUAAGUCCAUGAAAUGAGUGAGAAUAGAAUGAGAAUGAGAUGAAGAGGGAGGGGGAAUGGAAUCAACACAAAUUGGUCAAAGGAGGACUUUUAUCAAAUUAAAAUCAUUCAUUCAUUUUGGGAGAUGAAAUAUACAUUUCAUCAAUCCCCUAAAUCCAAUGAUUUUAAAUCAACAAAGUCAAAAUCAACCUUGACCAAGGCCCAACAACAAUAGUCAAACUCAACAAGUCAACACAAAUAGCUCAACACAAUUUAUUUGCAAUUAAACAAUUAAAAAUCAAUUAAAAAAUACAUUAAAUUAAAUUAUGGUUGGUCAAAAUCCUAAAACCUCAUCAAAACACCAAAUAAAUGACUAUGAGAUUUAUCAUAGGUCAAACAAGGUCAAAGGACCUUGGAGAAAAAAUUUCAUUAUUUUUGGAAACUUAAAAGUAUUUUUAAACAAUUAAAAAUAUGCACAAAAACAAUUAAAUCAUGAAAAAUAAAUUUCAUUAUUUUUGGAAACUUAAAAGUAUUUUUAAACAAUUAAAAAUAUGCACAAAAACAAUUAAAUCAUGAAAAAUAUUAAUAAUGAUCCAAAAAAUAAUUUUAAUUCAGAAAAUGAAAGAGGAAGUUAUUUUAAAUGUUUUGGUGAAAGUCUCAUAUUUUUUGGAUCAAUAUUAAAAUUAAUAUGAAUUAAUGAAAAUAAAGCAAUUAAACAAAAAAUUAGAAAAUGCUAAAAUACGUGGACCACUUGAGCUCCCUCAUUAAUUGAGGUGGCAAAUCAAGUGGAUCUCACGUGCGUUCCAUGAUGGACCUAAGUCAAUACGCUGCAGGGAUGGUAAUCAAAACCAACGCGUGAGAUCAAAACAAAAUAGAUUGAUCAUAUGGUUUGAGACAUAUGCCAACGCACCGCUGGAGCUACAACUCCGAUCUUCUUCUCCGGUGGACCUCACCGAACUGGUACAUCCUCAACCAUCACCAAAAGGAAAAAGGAGGACAUGAAUUUAAAGUUAAAAGGCCCAGGAGCUCGAAUUUGGCCUCAAUUUCAUCUAACUCCAAGUAUAUUGAAAGAUAUAGGGAGUUGAAUUUUGAGGAUCAUGAUCUGAGUUGCUUCGAUUUGACCUCAAAGCAACUCAAUCUUCUUGCCUACAUUGGUAGGACUUCAGACAACCAAAAAUCAAGAAGAAUUAUAGAGAAUUGAGUGAGAAUCGAAGAGAUGAAAAAUUGAGAAAAUCACCUUCACUGCAGGUACAGAUGGCCACGAUCUUUCUCUCAAUUGUGCUUGGUCUUACUCUGGAUGCUUGAUGGAGUGGAAAUGAAUCAAGAAAAAAGCAGGACUCUUGGAGUUUUGAAUCUCAAAACAGUGGAUAUUCAAACUCGAUUUCCAAUGGAAAUCCUCAAGGUUAUCCUCUAAAUGAAGGUGUUUAGGGCUAGGGAUUCAAAGCUGGUGCGCAAGGGUCCUUAAUUCUAAGUGAAAGAGCCUCUAUUUAUAGCCAAGGCAUUGUUAUUUGCACACUUGUUUCAAACUUUCAAAAAUAGCAAUUUCACUUUACAUGGAUGCAUGGGCCUGUGAUAGGAAAAUGUAAUGAUUCAUUCAGGUCCAAAAUCAUGUGUAAGCAUUGCUGAAGUCAUGUUAACAAGCCAUGCAUUUGUGUAUGGAAUAUGGAAGUUCAAUUAUGCCAAAUGGUGAUCCAACUUUAAGCCAUGCGCAAUUCACUCAUACUUUGUCCAAAUGGGAUGAGAUUGGACUUUUUGGAAAGGCUAGAUCAAGAGGAACAACUUUCAUGUUGAACACUUUUUCAUUUGAAGCUUGGAUCAUGAUGAAUUUUAAGGUGGAAGUUUGGAAAAUCAAAUAUAUCAAAAAAAAAUUCUAAGUGUCAAGCCAUAUGUUCACUUCUUCCACCUUGAGUAACCUUUUCUAUGGACUUCAAAUGAGAAACGUUCCUUCAUCAAAGUUGUAGCUAUCUCAAAGGCAUUCAAAUUGGUCACAAAUUUGACCUCAUUUGUGUUUAGCAUGAAGGAGGUAUGCAUUUUAGAAGUUGAGGAAAAUCACUUGUUCAAUGGUAUUGACCCAAAAUGACCUAUAAUGUAUCCUCAUAUCACAUGCAUUUAAACAUUGAAUUUUCUCUUCCUCCUAACAUAAAAUUUUAAGUAGACAUCUUUAAUUUGAUAAUGCAACUUGAUUGGCUUUCAUCUCAUAAAAAUUGAGCAAGUUAUGGUUUGGGAAGUUGACCUUCAAAUUAGGGUUUAGACAAAACGACCUAUAAUCUUUCACCAUAAAAAAAUGACUUUCCAAGCAAACUUAGCUCUAGACUUCAACAUGAAAGUUGUUUGGAAUGUCAUUUAGAGUAACUUUUCUCUUGGAAUAAUUUUCAUAUGAUAAAAAUUGUAGGAGAUAGGGUCUAGGGAACCCCAAUUUUGAUCAGUUGAAUUCCUCUGGUCAACCACUAUGAACCAACUUGCUAGCUUGACAUUCUCUUGACUUUUGGGACUCAUGGAUGAUAAUAUAUGCAUAAGAUGAUGAAACAUUAAGUAUCCCCUGAAAUAUUUGAUCAAUUCUUGAAGAAACUUGUUGAAGAAGUUACACAAGAUACCUAGAUGAAUUAGGGUUUCCAAGGAACACCAACUCCAAACUCUUGAUGCUUUCUUGAUCAAAAUAACAUGUAAGGAUCAUAUAUGCAUAAUAUGAUGAAAUGUGAAUUAUACCUUGAAAUAUUUGAUCAAUUGUUGAAGAAACUUGUUGAAGAAGUUACACAAGAUACCCAGAUGAAUUAGGGUUUCCAAGGCACACCAACUCCAAACUCUUGAUGCUUUCUUGAUCAAAAUAACAUGACUUGUUGAAGAAGUUACACAAGAUACCCAGAUGAAUUAGGGUUUCCAAGGCACACCAACUCCAAACUCUUGAUGCUUUCUUGAUCAAAAUAACAUGUGAAGAUCUUGGGGAUCCAUAUAUGAUGCUUAGAGCCAUAGUAUACCAAAUGUUGAUUGAUCUCCUUGCAAUGAGGGUCUUAAACCCUAGAUGUGAGCUUGGUAGAUCAAAGGUGAGCAUGUGCACUACCUACAAAAUAAUUAGACUAUACAAUGACAUAUUUUUGGUAUUUUGGUUAGUAAAUGAUAAAAAACAAAGUAUGAUACAAUCAAAUUAUUCUUGGUGAUCUCUCCCAAUGCAAACCCAAUGAAAGAGGGGUAAGGAGGAUGCCAAGGUGUGAUCCGAAUGCUAAUGCAUAUGAUGAGAUAACAUGAGGGAUCUUAGGGGUCAAAAUUGGGGUAUUACCAUUACACCUAAUUAAAAUGCUAAAAAAACAAUUACCAAAAGUAUCAACACAAAAUAAAAUGGAAUUAAAGGUAAUUAAAAUGGUAAUUAAAAUGUUGGACCAAAGAGGGUGCAGACCCUGAAUAUAGAGUGUAGAAUUCAACAAUAGGGGCUUUGGGCUCAACAUAAUAAGCUCAAAUACCAAGAAGUGUAGUUGGAUUCAGCAAGUAUGUUGUUAAGCAAAACAUGGGUGUAGAAAGCAAAAUAUUGGGCUUAAUGGUUAAGCCCAAUAGAAUUUGCAAAGGGACAUGUGAAAAAAAUUCAGCAACUCACUCUCUUCUCUACACAUCAUCUUCCUAUUCUCAUGUCAAAGAAAAACCACCACCGGAGCUCCGACACCACCGCACCGGAGGCGGCAGAGUUGGCCGGAAUCAAGAAAAGGCAUCACUUUCUUACUCCUCUCAACCUCUUCUAUCCUAAUUCCUCAUCCAUUCUAACUACAAGUUAAUCAAUUCUGGAAAUUGAGCCAUUAAAGUCAAGAACCCUGAGCACAAAAUCUAAAAUUAAAUGGGGGUGAAGGAGAAUCAGACCACCAAACCUUGGGGUUUUGAUUCUCCACUACACAAGUUACAUCGUGGUAUCAAAAUUUCAAUAAACAAGCAAGGAUGAAAAUUCACCGACCUGCAAGACGGAGGAUUGUCUUGGAACUUGUUGAAAUUUGAAGGUGAUGAAGAUGAAGAAGAUGAAGUGAAAACUAUAGGUAUGCUACUUUGAACCUUUAAUAUUCUACUUCCACUAUGAGCCCUUCCUCUUCAAGAAUCAACUCUGAAAAAUUCUGAAUUGAAUUGUUGUUGUUGAUGUUGAUUAUGUGAAUGUAGGGAUGAUUGUUGAAUGCAAGAGGUUUAGCUCAAUUGAUAACAAACUUCAAUGUGAAUCUUGCUCCAAUGGUGAUUUGAGCUUUGGUGUAGGGAGGGGAAUUAGAGAAGAUGAAGUGAGAGGAGAAAAGUUGAAUUUGCAAUGAGUAAUUUGAGAGAAUGAUCAAGUUCUGAGUUUUUGGUCCCCCUUGUGUUUAUAUAGGUUACAAGUUUAUAUCAAAUGGAGGUUCGAAGUUAGUUUUGAUGUGGCUUGGAAUAAGUUAAAUGAGGCUUGGAAUUAGUUAAACUGAUUUGGAAUUAGUUUGGGACUGUUAUGAGUAGCUCAUAAAUGUUGAGAAGGUUGGUAAAUUGAAGUGUUAGGAGUUUGGUCCAAUGCAUGAAUGAUAUGGUUGGUUGCUACAUAAUCAUGUCAACAUUUCAAUGUGUAUUGAUGCAAGCAUUGGAACUAGUUUGGAAUGCAAAGGAAGUUGCAUUACUGCUGAAAAAUGCAGUAUUUUUGCUACCGUCCUUGGGAAAUCGAUUUCCCAAAACAUGGAAAUCGAUUUCCAUCACCCAAAAAUGAAUUUUUGGCCACUAGAAGCAGGGAAAUUGAUUUCCCCAGAUAUGGGAAUCGAUUUCCAUCACGAUAAUUUUUUUUUUGGCUACUGGGAGCAGGGAAAUCGAUUUCCCCAGAUAUGGGAAUCAAUUUCCAUCAUAAAAAAUGUUUUUCCCUUUGUUUUGCUGCAUGGGCUCAUGUGUGGGGCAUAAUGGUUUGGCUUUCUUUGAAGGAAUUAAUGAAAUUGAAUUAAUGGGUCAUGGAAUGACUUGAUCAAAUAGAAAAUGAACUUGUAUCAAUAGAACUAUAAAUCAAAGCAUGAAUGAAUGUUGACAUUUUGAUAAAACCAUGUGUAAGACCCCAAUUUUGACCCUAAGAUCCCUCAUGCCAUCUCAUAAAAUGCAUUGGCUUUGGGAUCACACCUUGGCAUCCUCCUUACCUCUCAUUCAUUGGGUUUGCAUCGGGAGAGACCACCAAGCACUUUUGAUUGUAUCAUACUUUUUUUUCAUUAUUUACUAACCAAAAUUCCAAAAAUAUGUCAAUGUAUAGUUUGUUGCUUUUGUAGGUAGUGCGUGUCUUCGCCCAUGCUCAUCAAGCUCAUAUCUAGGGUUUCAGACCCUCAAUGCAAGGAUACUAAUUAAGAUAUGGUUCACAUUGGUUCUAGACAUCAUAUAUGGAUCCCUAUGGUCUUCACAUAUCAUUUUGAUCAAGAAUUCAUCAAGCGUUUGAAGCUUGUUUUCCUUGGAAGCCCUAAUUCAUCCGGGUAUCUUAUGUGACUUUCUCAACAAGUUUCUUCAUCAUUUGAUCAAAUAUUUCAAGGGAUACUUUAUAUUACUUCAUAUUACUUCAUCUUACACAUAUAUGAUCCUCCAUGAGUCCCAAAUAUCAAGAUAAUGUCAAGUUUGCAAGAUGGUUCAAGGUAGUUGACUAGAGAAAGUCAACUGGUCAAAACUGGGGUUCCCUAGACCCUAUCUCCUACAGGUUUUAUCAUAUGAAAAUUAUUAUAAGAUAAACGUUACUCCUUAUGACAUUCCAAACAAAUUUCAUGUUGAAGUCAAGAGCUAUUUUUGCUUGUAAAGUCAUUUUUUAUGGUGAAAUAUUAUAGGUCAUUUUGUCUGAACCCUAGUUAGGAGGUCAACUUCCAAGGAUAAUAACUUGAUCAAUUUUUAUGAAAUGAAAGCAAUUCAAGUUUCAUGAUCAAAUUCAAUAUGUAAUCUCUAACUUUUAUGUUUGGAAUAAGUUCAAAUUCAACUUGAAAAUGUAUGUGCCAAGAGGAAACAUUAUAGGUCAUUUUGGGCUACUACCAUUGUACAAGUGAUUUUCCUCAACUUCUAAAAUGCAUAACUCCUUCAUGCCAAAUCCAAAUGAGGCCAAAUUUGUAACCAAAUUGAAUAGGUUUUAAAUAUAUACAACUUUGAUGAAUCAAAUCUUUCAAUUUAAAGCCCAUAGCAAAAUUUAUUCAAGAUGGAAGAAGUGAACAUUUGACUUGGUACUUAGAAAAUUUUCAAAUAUGUUUGAUUUUCUAAACUUUCACAUCAAAAUUCAUCAUGAUCCAAGAUUCAAAUGGAAAAGGGUUAAACAUGAAAGUUGUUCCCCUUGAUCUCACCUUUCCAAAAAGUCUAAGAUCAUCUCUUUUGGCCAAGAAAUGAAGGACUUGCGCAUGGGUUCUUUUCAAAGGUUCAUUUGGAUGGAUUUCACAUUCACUUUCCAAUCUCCAUUGCAUGAGUACAUGACAUGAUUUCAGCAUUGCACAUUGGUAAUUUUGGACUUGAUAGCAUAACUUGAUGGGCCUAUCACACGCCCAUGCAACCAUGCAAAGAAUUGCUAAUUUUGGCCAAUUUUGAAAGUGUGUGAAAAUCAAAUGGAAUGCCUAUAAAUACAACCCUCAUGGCUCAGAAUUGAGGACCUCAGGCCCAAGCUUUGAGCCUACAAUCCAAACCCUCACCAUUAAAGGAUAAUCUUGAAGGUUUUCAUUUGAAAAUCGAGCUUCAAAUCUCAUUCUAUUUUGAGAUUGGAACUCCAAAAGUCCAAGCUUUUAUUUGAUCCAAUCCAUUUCCUACAAGCUUCUGAAGCCAAGCCAAGGCCAAUUGGAAGCAAGAUCAAGUAAGGUUGAAGCUCAUUCGAAGGUGAUUUUCCAUAAUUUUCAUCUCUUCUAUUCUCUCUCAAUUCUUUAUUAUUCUUUGUGAUUUUUGGUUGGCUGAAGUCCUACCAAUGUAGGCAACAAGAUUGAGUUGCUUUGAGGUCAAAUCAAAGCAACUCAGCUCAUUAUCUUCAAAAUUUAAAUCCCUGUAUCUUUUUAUAUACUUGGAAUUGGAGAAAAUUGAGGUCAGAUUCAUGAUCCUGAGCAUUUUCUCUUUAAAAUAGUGUCCUUGUUUUUCAUUUUUCAUCAAGUUGAGGUUGGAUCAGUCCGGUGGAGGUCAACGGAGAAGAUGACCGGAGCUAAGGCUCCGGUGGUGAGUUGGCUUCCUCUCAUCCAUCUGAUAUUGGUCUAAGGAUCUAAUCUCGGCCUUUGGUUUGCAUUACCAUAGUUCCCACGCGUUGACUAGAGACCAUGGUGGAGUGCGCGUGUGUAGCCAUCAGAUCUGUCACCUCAAUUUACGAGGGAGAUCUAAAGGCCCUUGUUUUUUCUAUUUUUAUUUUAAUUUCUGAUUUUAUGUUUAAUCAUUUUAUUUUAUUUUAUUCAUAAAAAAUUCAUUUUUAAUCCAAAAAAUAUAGGACUUUCACCAAAAAUAUUUAAAUAUUUUUCUCUUCCAUAUUCUAAAUUAAAAUUAUUUUUUGGAUUAAAUUUGAUAUUUUUCAUGAAUUAAAUGUUUUUGUACAUAUUUUUAAUUGUUUAAAAAUACUUCUGACUUUUCAAAAAUCAUGAAAUUUUUUGUCUAAGGUCCUUUGACCUUGUUUGACCUAGGAUAAAUCUCUUGGCCAUUUAUUUUGGUGUUUGAAGAGAUUUUAGGUUUUGACCAAAUUAAAAUGUUUUUAAUUCAUUUUAAUUUGGUUUUUAAUUGAUUAAUGUGUAAAAAUUAUGUUGAGGCAUUUUUAGGGUCUUGUGAUGUGACUAUUAUUGGUCUUGGUCAAGAUUGAUUUUGACUUUUGUUGGAUUAAAACCAUUGGAUUUAGGGGAUUGAUGAAAUGUACAUUUCAUCUCCCAAAAUGAAUGAAUGGUUUUAAUUUGAUAAAAUUCCUCCCAUGACCAAUUUGUGUUUCUCUUACUCCUCUCCCUCUUCAUCUUCAUCUUCAUCUUCAUUCAUAUUCUUUCACAUUCUCUCAUUUGACCAAUGAAAUCUCUAAUGUCUUAAGGUUAAUUGGUUCAUCAAUGACAUUGUGUCAGAUGAACCAAUACAAGUAUGACUGAGAUAGGUCCAUCCCCAUUGAUCUUUUCUUUUAGUGUGUGGUAUGUUUUAGGAGUUUGGUCCAUUACACCAAAUCUCUAACAUGCAUUAACACCUAAAUUUUUAUUGUCCGACCUCAGAUAGUUGUGGCUUCUACAUAAGUCCAAUUACGAUUGCUUAACAUAGAGAUAAAUUUGACCCUAAAGGCAUAACAUUCUAGUAAGUGAGAUUGUAAGUCUCCCAUCCUUCAUGGUAUUGUGUCGAAACUUGACCUUUUUUCCUUCCAAUGGAAGAUGUCUUGGUUCAAGGAUCCAUGCUUGUGAAUGGAUGGUUGAGUGUUCUCCAAAGAAUAACUUAAUCAAUUAAAAGACAUCAUUAACAGUUGACUAACCUCUGACUAACAUUUGACUAAAUCUUAUUAAUAUUGCUUUACUUUCAAGUCAUUUACUUUAUGCAAUUUAAAUUUCAGUCAUUUACCAUUCAUUGUCAUUUACAUUUCAUUUAACUUGUUUAUGUUUAUGCCAUUUUUACUUUGCUCAUUUGAGUCAUAUCUUGUGAUUAUAUAUAUUGCUUGUACAUUUUGAUUUUUGUUUGUGGUAUUAGGACCUUAAAACACUUAAUAAACAACAAAAACCCUAAAAAACAUUUGGUGGACUGUUGAUCUUGAUAUGAACUUUUGGACUUAGGAUUAGGCAACAUUCCCUGUGUAAAAAGGACUUGACCAAUGCCAACAUUUUGAGACCAAGUUAUUGUGAACCAAGCCCUCAUCUGAUGCAAGCCUUGGAAUCUGUUUGAAUUCAUCUGUUACUUCGCCUUAGUGCUAACUGUUAUUUUGAUCUUGUGUCUGAUGCUUUGUUUUGAGUUGAUCAAUGAAUAUUUCAUCUGAUACAUGAGAAGACAAAGAAGACUACUAGCUAUGGGGUUUGCUUGCUUGGAUGUGGCUAUCUUUAUUUGAUGCCUUGAUCUUUUUGAUUUCUGGAUAUUGCUAAUUUCUUGUUGAUUAUUUCUUGAUUCAAAGUCCAAAGGGAAAAUGGGUUUUCUAUAUGACAUUCUUGUCUGUUGGAUUGCAUCGCAUUAGUCAGAUCUUUUCAACUCUUAACUUUUAAUUUUAUGCUUAGGAUAGCCUCUUCAUAUUCUCCCACUUCUUAAAUUUCAAAAUCUCUUCCCCUUUUCAAAAGCUUUCUUUUCUUGCGAUUUCAAACUUAGACCUUAUUUCAUAUAGAAACUUUGGCCUUAUGCCAAUGGAUUUUCAAACUUUUUCUUAAAUCAAAAUUGUAAAUAAACUUAAUCAUAUUUACUUAAAAUUUCAAAAAGACAAAAAGAAAUAACAACUUGAUUCAAAUUUUUGGCCCUUUGUGCCAUUUUCAUUCAAACUUUUAUUAAAAGCAAUUCACUAACUUUGAAAUUGUUACCACGAACUACAAGGUUUUGAUCCCUCAUUUUUAUGUUGGUACAUAGGCACAAGACCGAAGGUCUUGUCAAACACAAAAAUAUAAUUAAUGAAUUAUUUUCUCAUCCACACACUCUAUUUUUCUCAAACAUCUUUUAUACAAAAACACAUACACACAUAAAAAAGGGCUCCUACCUAGGACACUUUGGGUGCUAACACCUUCCCUCCGUGUAACCAACCCCUUUACUUGUAAUCUCUGGCAUUUUAUUAGUUUUGAUUUGAAAACUUCUUAUCUUUGGGUUUUGUUCGUACUUUUCCCUUUUCCUUUGGAGAUAAUAAAACCGCGGUGGCGACUCUGGUUUUAUUGACGUUAAGCUUAUCCAUAGCUUAAUGGUCAUGAAUUUACCGCUACAGCAUGUAUGAAGUGGGGAUGACAUAAGACUCGGAUCAAACGGAUACCGAUACUAUGAGAUCAAUGAAACAUGAAUGUAAACAUGACUUGAACCAAUCACAUAGCACCAUGAAUUAAGGUUUACUAGGUCAAAGUUCAACUUUAUGUAUCAAUCGUGAAUUUCAAGCCAGGUGAGAAGUCAACUCGAGUGGUGCAUCAUUGCCAUGAACCACAACCAGGGUUUCCACUACCUCAAUGCAAACCAUAUGGUUCACAAACCUCAAAGCCAGUGACUAGGGUUUUGAUGAGCCGUAGAUCGGAAAGCCAGACCAGCAAAGCACCUGAACCUCAACUACCCCUUGAUUAGGGCUUCAAACACAACACAAAGCUCCACAGGCUACACCUCAAACCAUUGACCCAUAAUUAGGGUUCAAAAGUCAGGUUAAUUACACAUGAGGUCAAACACAAGAUCCUAUAGAAGCAAAGUCAAGAAUUAGGGUUUCAGCCCAUAAGGUGUGCAAUACCACCGCCUUCAAGCAAAACCCUUGUUUUUACCAACCAUAAACCUUGAAUCUAUGAUGCCUGUUAGCAAGUGUUAAUCAUGAAUGAAUGAUGCACAUGAAUGAAGUAUGAAUGAGUCUCAAGCCAUAAGUCAGAUGAGAAGCGAAAAGGGAAGGCAAAUUUUGGGGUAUAACACUCUCGUAUAUGUAGGAGGGGCAAAUUCCAUCAAGGACACUCAUGUUUAUUAACAUGAUUUGUAAAGUACCCAUAAACCAUCUUUAUGGUCACCCUGUUACGGAAAAUGUUUGAUUGAUAAUAAAGUACCUGAAUCCACAUAUAAGGUCUAUAGUGAUUUCAGGUCGAAGGGUGGUACACACCACUAUCAUUAUGAGAAUAACUUAUUUCACUUACAUAAUAAGCUAUGUAGUAUUCUCAUGGUGGUCCAAUCUAGUAUAAAUAUUAAUCAUAAUAUUUAUACCUACGUGAAGACUUGAUAUCUCAUAUCCAUGACUUGUAAGAUACAAUCAUCAGUCUACUCAUAUAAUAAUCUUUAUGCAUUACUGUUAUCCUAUUUGAAAAUAAAGCUUGACUACAGAUACUUUAAGAAUAACAUCAUUAUGUUUAAUAAAGUCUCAUGAUUAAGUCACAGUAAAUGUAUCAUUAAACAGACUAAUUAUUCUAAGUACUUUCUUAUAUCAUAUACAAGUAACACAAUAAAUACAAUGCCUAAUAAGUAUAUAUAUUAACAGGUAAUAUAUAUCAAUGUCAUGAUUCAAAAGCCUAUACAGUCAAUAUUUAUUGGCUAUUAGGGCUAACUCCAACAAUCUCCCACUAGCACUAUAUCAAUCAUAUAUUAACUUAACAUCUAUCUGCCCAUUGUGUGCGUCAAACAUCAUCUAAGCAUGAUACUUUAUUAGGGUAUAAGGAACUCUUUCCUAUGUUAAUAACAUACACCUCUUUGAAUUUUAACUUUCGAUCUUCCAUCGAAAUAAAUUGAAGUUUCAAAAUAUAUAUACAUGGAUCGCUAGUGAGAGCUAGUUUUAUAAACUUGUAAGAUUAACCCAUUAUCAUCGUGAAUGAGAUCAAUAGGAUCUGCAAUACAAGAAACACAACUUUUUUCCCAAGAAUUAGCAAAGUGAUCUAAAUCAUAUAUUUGAACUUUGUACUAAAAACGACAAUUGUUUGAAGCCUUUUUCAACUUAUACAGUUGUAUUCCAAGCAUAACAUUUAAUUUAUAUUGUGAUAUGAAUAUAUAGUUCAUAAAUGUUGUAAUAGUAUAAUUGUAACACCUUUACAAUGAUUAUUUCCAUCUACUCUUAAGGAAAGGAAUGCCAUAUCCUUUAAAGAUAUUUAUAGACCUUCUUAAUAGUGAUCUAGAGGUGAACACUUCAGUCAUUUUGGUGUUAGACAAAGGCAAUGAUCUAUGGGGUGAAUAAAUCACAAUAAAAAUUUUGUGAUUAAAAAUUAUGUUUUAAAAUAUUUACUAGGGCAAGCGGAAGAAAUUCCAGAUCUACACUCAUCUAUCCCGAACUGUUAUCGAAAGAAACAAAUAUGCGUUUAAACCGUAAGGAAACAUAUACUAAUGAUGAGAAAGUGAAUCAAUAUGUAUUACAAAAUACGUUUGAAUAAAAUCACACAAUGAUAAUUACUUUCCAAUGAAUAUAUAUAACUAAAAUUGAUAAAGAUAAUUUAUCGAACACUUAAGGUGCAAACAAUUUAUCGAACACUUGGUGUGCAAUAAACACCAAGCUUAUUUUCCUUUGUGUUGAUAAUAUGAAAAUAAAAUUGCAAUGUUUGGAUUACAAUAUUCUUACAAAAAUAGUAUGAAAUACUUCUACACAGACAAAAUUUUCAACUAAUCAAAUUUGCACUUUAAGUUCAAUAUCAAAAUGUAAAGAGUGUGUGUGUGUGUGUGUGUGUGUGUGCGUGUGUGUGUGUGUGUGUGUGUGUGUGUGUGAGAGAGAGAGAGAGAGAGAGAGAGAGAGAAAGAUAGAGGGAGAGAGACACACACACACACACACAGAGACAGAGAGAGAACACCAAGAUUUGUUUAGGCAAUUCCCCAAUUGUCCUCACUAUGGGUACGUCUGUCCCCAAUUCCAAAAAGAAUUGAGAUAUCUGAAAUUAAUCUUUGCAAGUGUAGUUUACAAGAGAAAAAGUAGCAAUCCAAACUCUCAAACCCUAUGUUUGAUGUUGAUCAUAACUUUUUCUGUCUCCUUGAUCUUAAGCAAGAUCAAGUGACCCAAGACUUCCAAUUCGAUCCUCUAGUUACCGUUACUCCUUUGACUGAACUUCCCGUUCUUCAAAGUUUUCACUCGACUGAAUCCUCAUUACGAAAUCUUGUACCAAGCCUUUCAAAUGAUCCUCCGGUUACCGCUACUCCUUUGAUAGAACCCCCGUUCUUCAAAGCUUUUACUCGGCUGAAUCCAAAUGCAAAGACUUGUGCAAAAAACCCCAAAUCAACCUUGAUCUUGGAGGAAAACACCUAACUGGUUUUAUCAAAGAACCCCCCAAAGAAUACUCAACCCAUUUAUGAUUACAACAAUCCUAAAUUAAACCUUAUCAAUCUAUUCUAGAUAAGAAUCAACAAAAAUGAUUAUGCGUAAUUGUUGAAUGUAUGAAGAAAAAGAUUGAAGAUGAAGAGAAAUUUCUAAGUUUGUUCUUGGUUUCUAUAUUAGAAAUGAUGCAUGAAUACAUAUUUAUAUAUCUUCAUGUGUGUGUAAAGAAUAACAAACAAAACAUAUUUGUAGUGAGAAUUAUAAGUUUUGCAAAAUGAACUGAAUGCAUUGACUUUAAAUUUGGAUGAGUCAAUACAUAAUGCUAAGGAGUCGACACAUAACCAUAAGGAGUCGAUACAUUAAGGGAAGCGAAUAUUAUGUUAAAAAGUUCUUCAGUAGGAGUCGACUCCGAGCACGAGGGAGUUGAAUCAUUCGUGUCGACCCAUACCAUCAAUGUCUCGAUACAUUAAAGGCAGUGAUGCUUAUUUGAAAAAGCCUUUCAGAUGGAGUCGACUCCAAAUGAGAAUGAGUCGACUCCUUCGUAUUUUGUAUCGACUCAUGUGACCUAUGUAUCGAUACAUUAAAGUCAUAAUCAUUUUCUUUAAAAACUCAUUUAGUAUGUAUUGGUACAUAGUCAUUUAUAUCGACCCAUUGACUCAUUUUUCAUGAAAAACAUAAUUUUAACUUGUAAUGACCUAUUUAAUAUGAUCUUAAAGUGUCCUACUAUGAUGAUUCACAUCUAGACAUAGACAAUAAGAUCCAAUAUACACAAAGUACUAAGUGACAUAGUUUUGAUAUCAUUCAAAACAUAUCUAAGAGAAUAAUGCACUCAUUUACUCCCCUUUUUUUAUUAUGGAAAACCUUACUAAGCACUUGGUGUCUUUAUCAAAGCUCCCCCUGAAUAUGUGCAUCAAAAAGAGACAAAGACGAAAAACGUGUGAAGUAUCAUUGGAAAUACACAACAACAUAUAAAUCACCCAGAGGCGUUGCAAAGAGUAAAAGAUCCAACAAAAACGUGCACUAACAUAGAAUUACGUCUAAGUGGACCAAAUCAUAAACAUAAAUACAUAACCAAACAAACAAAAAUAGAUGAAAUUCAUAACAUAGUUGUCAUAAGGUCACAAUAAAAUAACAAAAUAAACAUAAAGACAUGGAAAUAUAAAUGCAUGCAUAAGAGGCAUUGCCCACAAGAAAACCUAACUAAUGACCACGACCAUGACCUCAACCUCUACGAUCCUGAAUUUCAGGUCUCCUACCCUUGUAUCAAGAAACACCUUCACCACCAUACUCAUAAUCCAAGAAUUCACACAUUUCCCCAUAGAAUUGUUGAUAGUGGUGGUGAUUGUCAUUUUGGUCACAAAUCAUAUCCCGGAUACCAGCUUGAGUUGUAGCGUGGUUGGAAGCCAUGUUUUGACGAAUCUCAUUGAAUUGCUUCAUAGAAUACGAGGCAAAAUUGUUAAAAUUAUUGCCAUGGGUUGUUAUGUGUUCAUGAACUUCUCUGAAAUGCUCCGGUUGAGCAAUUUCAAACUCGUCACGCCUACGUGAAUCCUCUUCGUGGCACUCACGUUGCUCAACACACAUGUUCUUGAGCAAGGUAAGAAUAUAUGAUUCAUCACCCAUUGAACCACCAAAGUAGUUUCCAUAAGUAGUGUCGUCCAGGAAGGUUUUAUCGUCGACCUUUCCCUCGACCCCUACUUGUGAUGUUCUUUUCUGGGCCCGGAUCUGUCAUGCCUAGAUUGUGUCUUUUCUUUAGCAUCUCGGGAUCUUUUCCCAUGUUGUUUUCCUCCCCUUGAUAUAACAUUCUUCUUUAUUUAUUACUUCCGCCAUGCUGGUGGCCAUCUUUUGUAGAAACGAUUCAUUGAAAUGGACGAUCAUUAAGUUGUUUUAGAAGGCUCCUACGAACAUCUCUUGAUUUGGAUGGGAGACUUUUAUAGUCUAUUCAUUGAACCACGCCAUGUCUUCUCGGAGAGAUUCGGAGGGUCCCUUGAGGACGUUUAACAAGCUGGUGGUAGUCACCUUUCUAUGUUUGCUGGCGGAGAAAUGUUGCACCAUCUUCCUGGUUAGAUCUUGGUAACCGAUAAUUGAUAAUCUGGGCAGACUCAUAUACCAACAUAAUACCACAUCUUUGAACGUUCCCACCAUAAGCUUGCAUUUUAAGGAGUCGGAAGCCCCGACUAUUUCUAUUUGAUUGUUAAUUGAUAUUGUGCUCUUGAGGAUCACUUUUUCCAUCGAAGGACGACAAAGGUGGUGGUUUGAAGUUUUCUGGGACUUGAUCGCCCCAAAUUACCUCAAAAAGAGGUUGAGGAUCAAGAAGCUCCUCCUUCUCCUCUUCAUCUUUCUUAGUGUUUUGUGACUGAUGUAGUGUGUGGACACUUUCCUGCAAAGAUUCAUUAUGAUGACGCAAAUUCUCUAUAAUGGUAAGGAGUUGUGUCAUGUUUGGUGGGGUGCGAGGUUCACUUCUGCUAGAAGAUGAUCCAGACAUCAUAUUGCUAUGGUGAAAUGUGUUGUUUUGUGAGGUUUGAGAAAGUUUUAUCGAGAUCCCACAGUGGGUGUCAAAUAUUCCUGAUAAACACUAUUUGAUUAAUCUCCUUAAGGCGAGUAAGGUGAUAUCACAAUCGUCCCCUCUGUAGGGGGUCUGGGGUCUUUGUUGUCUAUCUUCCUCCUCGAUGAAAAGCCCCAUUUAUACAUAAGGAUCACUUAAGUAACAUCCCUUCGGAUCUCGUGUUUAAGUGAUAUUUGAUAACGUCCCCCAUCUUCUUUAACUAUCAUGUAACAUCACAUCCAUCAUUUUCUGAAACUCAUGCAAUCAUGGAGUUGAUUUGUAACCGUUAUAUGAGACCGUUCAUGCCGUCUUCUAACACCCUCAAGAGACCGGGCCCAACUUGCUCACGUUGUCUACCAGCGCUUUUAUAGGACCGGACUCGACAUGUUCAUGUCAUAUACCAACACUCCCCUUAACCGGAAUCCGAAUUGUUCAUAUUUAUACAACUCGACAUUAUUGUUCCUUCCUACUCGUCCUCAACAACUCGGUCUUUGGAAUUCCGAGACGUCCACUUGUUCAAAUAUAAUUCAUUUAAUGAAAUUCGUUGUGGAUCGAUACAUGAAUAGUUUUUAUUCUAAACAAUGAUACAUGAAUAGUUUUUAUUCUAAACAAGAUAAUGAUACCCUACAAAUCAACUAGUUACUAGAGUCUUCGACUUUAUAAAAGUAUAUGUUGGCUUAUAGUGCCUAUGAAUUCCAAUCACCUUUCCUACUGAAGAUUUAAUCAACUUGUAUGGGCAUUUUUUCAACUGGUAUUUUGGCUAAUUUGUUUUAAGUGUUUGUCGUUCAACGUGAAAAGGCCUACGUGCCUUAAGAUUCUAUAGUGUAACUUUUCAUCGGCAUUUCUUGGCCUUAAUAUAUAUUGCUUUAUUUGCCUUUUCAAGAAGAAAAUCAACAUCAAAGAAAGAAACUGGUAUAUAGUAAUGUAAUCACGUGAACAAGAAAACGUAAAGUCUCCUCUCUAUGGACAAUUACAAAAAUAGAAUUGGUUUUUUGUGGAAGUUGGCUACGUGAUGUGACAAAUAUUUUGUAGUUAUGUGGGUAAAUAUGUUAACUAGAUAUAUUUAACUAUGGGGAUAGAGACGUUACACGUUCAUUCCUAGAGACGUGGUGUAAAGUCUAAGUCAGUAUCACAUAUUCCUUUAACGUGUUAUGUAUAUCAUGCUCUCUAACUAUUGAACUUAGACAAAUAAAUAUUUUCAAUUGACAUGUUACAAAAUUGUUAUUCAUUAAAAUUAAGGGCUGUUUUUCUUAACCAUAUUAUUGGUGCGAAUAUCUAUCAAUUUUGCCUAUAAUUAUUAUCAAGAAAAAAAUCUUACUAGUCACUAGGGCUGUCAUGGAACCGUUCAUUGAACAAAAUUAUGAUAAAAGUUUAUUUAAAAUCGAACCAAACUAUUUCAAUUUAGAUAUAAUCAAAUCAAAUCGAAUUUGAAUUAUUGAUUUGGUAUACAAUUUUGAAAUUCCGAAUCGUACCGAACUCUUAGAAGAUAAUUUUUUUAAACCAAACUAUUUGGUAAAGAAUCGAACUGCUAAAAUAUUUUUUAAAUUUUUUUAAAAAUUAAAAGUUAUUUUUAAUAUUUUUUUUAUUUUCAGUUUCGAUUUGGUUCAAUUUUAAUUUUGGUUCAAUUUAUUUGUCAUAUGAUCUGGUUCUAGAAUUGUUUGUACAAUAUGGUUUGAUUCAUUAAGUAAACAUAAUUCAAUUAUUUUAACUUCAGUUUGGUUAGAUUCAGCGGUUCAGUUCAGUUCGUAGUUUUUUAAGAGUCCUACUUGCCACUUCGUACGAGACAAGUUUAAGUUUAAUUUGUAUUUUAUAAGGGAAUUUCUUAAUGCGCCCUAUAUAUUUUUAAGUCACCACACGAAAAUACUUAAAUGCCAUCAGAUUUUGAAGAUGCACCUCCGAACGUACCCAAUCCUAAGUUAAUAUUAAAAUAUUUCGAAAAUGCAUCGACAGAAUAAUGUCGGAGAAGCAUCUCCGGAACGAUUUGGAGCUUGUAUCACGCCAAAACCCUUCCUCUCCCUCAUUUCUCAUAUUUAAAAAAAAAACACUCCACACUCUUAAAUUUAUUCUCAUCAAGAAGUCCAAAAUCAAGCAACCAAUGUCAAACAAACUUCAAGCAAUAUCAGAAACAUCUUCUAACACUAAAGCAAAGUGAAAAAUUAUAAGUUUUUUUUUUAUGUUUUCAAUAGUUUUUGAGUUUGUGUAAAUGAGUAGAAAUUGAUGUAUAAGUUAGGAAAUGAGUAGAAAUUGGAUGAUUGAUAGUUUAGACAUAGUAUAAAACAUGAUAGUUAGUUGAAAAUGAUUAUCAAGGUUGUAUUUUUUCGUUUCCAUGUCUGCAUUGUCACCAUUGACGUGGCUUCUGGGUUGCAGAAAAUUUCGGAGAUGGAUCUUCGAAAUUUUUCAACGUUUUAUUUUCCCAGCAACCUGAGAUGCAUCUACAGAAUUUUCUCUUUUAUUUUUUUGUUUGUUUUUGUUGCUUGUGGUGUUGUAUGCUUGCACUAAUUGUCUGCUUUACUUUAACUUAUAGGUAUAAUGGAUGAUAGGCAUGAUCGACUGAGGCACAAGAGGUUUGCACAACUUGCAUCAGUGUGGUGGGAGAAGAGUCAGAAGGUUUCAGAGGCUCAUGGUCCCUCUGUCCAUGCAGAGCCAUCUACUUCUAGGGUUCAUGCUUCUCCAUCUUGUUCUUCCCAUAGAAGACGAGUUUCACCUACCGACACAUCACUCCCUCCAUCCUUCUGUAGGCGUCGGGUUUCACCUAUUCAAGCGCCUGAGGUACCCGAGUCACCAGUGGUACCCAAGGAACCACUUCCACCUCCUACUGUUGAUGGUGUUGAUCUAGUGCCAGCUCUAGAGGGUGAGGUUGUUGCGGUUGCUAAGCCAAAGGAAUUUGAAGGAGGCCUGUAGAUUUAUCACUAUUGCUUAUGUACCCAGACCAUACUGCCAAACAUAUAUGGGACUGAGAGGUAGCAUUUGUUAGAUUCAUUCUUUUUAAAUUACGUUUAUUUUAAUUAACAAGUUUGUGACAUUGAUUUUUUUCAAGACUGUGAUCCGCUGAAGUUUAUUAACCACAUGCGGAAGAUUACUAGCUUGUCUCAACUGAAUGAGGAUUGGUUUCAGGUUAUUUUAUCCUUAUCUAUCCUGAAGGACUUGUGCAUGACUAGUUAUGUUACGAGUAACUAUGAGAUGCUUAAUGCAUUCGUGGAGACAUGACACUCGAAUACCUCAUCAUUUCACCUCUCACUUGGUAAGAUGUUUAUCACACUCGAUGAUGUGUCGUGUUUGCUACAUCUUCCGAUCAGGCGGAGACUCCUAGAUCAUGGAAGGAUUAGAAAAGACGAGGCACUCGAGAUGAUGGUAGAUUAUCUAGGGGCUGACCCAGGGGAGGCGAUGCAGGAGUUGGAUAGGACCAGUGGGCUCAUGCUAGAUUUAAAAACCUAAAAAAAGGUAUAUACAUAUGAGCUCUAGAGAGCAUAUAAGGCUAUAGGUGAUGAAGAGCAGGUGGGGCUCCACCAAGCACAUGCUUUGAGAGCAUACCUGCUAUAUUUGGUUGGCACUGUUAUUUUUUAUGGACAAGAGUGCCACUUAUAUAGAUGUCUUCUACCUACAGUACUUCCAAGAUUUCGAGCAGAUCCAUGAGUACAACUGAGGGGGCGCUUAUUUGGUUUGUAAGAACAAUAUUUGGUUCUACAUCUGACCUUUAGUUUUGAUGAUAAUAAUGCAUUGCUUCUUAGAGAACAAUUUUGUACACUAAUGGUUUUUAUCUAGUAUGUAGCUUUUGCUAGCAGGUUCUAACUCUGAAGCAUCGACGUGUGAUGUCAUCAGAUUCUGGAAUCAACACACUCUAACUCUGAAGAGAUACAAGUGCUUUACAAGAUGUUGUCAAGUUCUAGAAAGCUCUUAAACAACGAUUCUGAUGAACGUUUGUGCUAAAACUUCUUACUGUGACUUUGAUUGAAGAGCCCAUGAAGGACUUUCAUCCUUCAUGACUCUACUCUCAAGUUCUGAAGAUUUUGAAGAACAAGAUUUGAAGACUCUAAAGACCAAGUUCUGAGGAACUGUGUCAAGACUCUGAAGACCGGAGUUCUGGAGAUUUUGUCAACUAGUAUCUUGAUCCUUUUAAGCAUGCUUUAACAUCAUUUCAUCAGAAGCCUCUGAAUAUUAGAAGAUAAAAUCAAAAGGUUUUGUGUCAGAAAAAUAGUACACAAUACAAGAUCACCCUUUCCUCUACUAUGCUGAUUUUGUGGGCUAAGGAUAAUACUAUUGUACUAUUUUGUCUCCUAUAUACAAACCAUUACACAAAAAGACAAAUGCAAUUUUCUAUUCCAAUUCUACCCUCUAACUGAUCUUUUAACUUCCUAUAUAAAGGAGACUUGGAAGAUUGGAAGAGGCUGCUAAUGCUAGUUCUUAAUUCACUGUGCAAUAAUACGCUCAUACACACGCUGUUUUGCUGAAGUAUAUAUUUUAUGUGUAUAGUCUUUGUAAACACACAAGAGUUGUUGCUCAUUAUUAUGUGAGAUAUUCAUUGUAUUAAUUUGGUGCUAAUAUGUUUUCUUAGAAGCAAUACUUGUAAACACACCUUGUAAAUCUCAAAUUUGUUUGUGCGGUUUCCUUUAGUGACUAGGUUUUAGUUAGAUAGACUCAAGAAGACAAAGAUAAUUUGUCUUUGUGGUGUCUGUAAUCAGUUUCAGUUAUAGUGGAUUAUCUCCUUGUUGAGAAGGCGGAAUCACAUUGGUAGGGUGGACUGGAGGUAGCUUCGUUAAAAACGAACCAGUAUAAAAAUAACUUUGUUACUUUUCUUGUUCGAUUGAGUUGAUUUUGAAAAAACUUUUAUUUUUAAAAACUCAAUUCACACCCACUUUCUUGUGUUUAUUGUCACCUUCAUGGUUUACUUAUACUCAAAGUUAUCAGAGGGUUGUAGGUGGAAGACGAAGCAAGUCACAUGCAACAUCACACUACUCACUGUAAUAUUUAUUGGACUUUUAAUCUUUUUGUAUCAUUUUCAUUUUAUCUUUACAAUACCAUUGCUUAUGAUUCGUGUGUUCCAAACUUUUCAGGCUUGAAUCUUCCAACACUUCCCGUGCAUCUUCGACUGGGUGAGUGUAUCGAAUUACACUGAAGAUAUCUUGCGUGCUACUACAUUUGCCCAUCUCAGAGGGAACUAGGUGACUGAUCCGUUCAAAGUGUAUCUUGACUGCUUGGUUACCGACCAUAUGCACUUCAAUAGCUAUGUCGAUCACUGUGAGACACAACCAUUUGAUAAGAUAAUACUAUACUCUUGAUGGUUGGCUUGCAUAUCACUUCUCACUGCUCCCCAUUUUCCCGAGUGCAUCAUGCGGCAGUUCAGCUACACUCAGACGAUUUCCUAAACACCCUAUUGUCUCUAUUCCUCCUGUUUUGACAGAUGUAUGACAUGUUUGAUGAUUAUGAGAGUCAUAUGGUACCGAAGAAGGCACUGAGUACCAUAGCACUGAGCGAUUGGAGCUAUGUGGGCGGGUACAUAAGGUGGUUCUUUAGGGUGUCAGAUUUUUCGUAUAUGGUGCAUGCUGCUCCAGGAGACCCACCUAGGCCAGCUCAUCAAGAGAUACUAGAGAAGGAGCAGGAACCGUUAGAUCAUGUUGAGGAUGUCUGGCCUAGACGUUGUUGCAUUAUAGAGAUUGUGCAGGCAUGCAUUGACAGAGGUAUCUUCUCUGAUGGGUGUGAUGUGAGACAGGUCCUAUAUGCCAUAAUGACGGAGGCAUGAGGGGCAUUGAUAUACUGAAGAUAACACCGGUGGACGGAGGAUUGAUGGUCGAGGAGGAAGAGGGGAUGCAUUCUGACAUACACAGUAGUAUAUUAGUAUAUAAUAGUAAUACUAUGGAUUGUAUUCUAUUUUAAUAUCAUGCUUCUUUAUCGUUGUUCUCUACUUUUUUGCCAUUUAUUCAUCUUUUAUUUAUAUAUGAUAUUUUUGAACCAUCUUAAUCUAUGCACAUCAUUCUUUGUAUAUCAGUUGUAUGGUUUAAAUCUCGUCACAUAACAUGAUACACAAUACUUAUAAAUCUUCAUCUGAAUACGCGUAAACAAAACAUAACAUGAAACAUGUUAUUCUAAUAUGUUACAGAGAUGUAACUUUUGAAAAGAAACGGAGAUGCAUCUCCAGAAUAUUUUAACGAUCAAUCAUAAUUGGUGCACCCGUAAAUGCAUAUCCAAAAUUCAGGGACAAUUAAAUAUUUUAGCAUGAUGGCUAAGAAACAUAUAGGGUUCAUUAAGAAAUCCCCUUUUAUAAUGGGUAAGCCCUUAAGUACACCGUAAAGAGAAGGUUGUGAACUUAUAAAAAUAAAAAAAGAAUUUAUUUUUCAUAUGCAUACCGACGACAUUUUUACCUGUCACUCUACAUUUAAACCUGGCACCCCCGAAAUGAUGUGCUUUACUAUAUUACCCUUGCCUAUUAAAAACUCAUUUCACUAUCCAUUUUUAACAUUUUGAAUUUUUCAAAAAGUUGUGCGUCUUACCGUAAUUUUUUAGUCAACUACCAAUUUUUUCCAAGUAUGUAUACAAUGUUACCAAUAACUUUAGUUUUAUACCAUUUUUUUAAAAAGUGCAUUUUUAUCGGAAUUUUAAAAUGUUCGGUAAAAACUCAUGUUUCUCAUGCAUUUUUACCAUAUAUUUUUAAAAUUCUGGUAAAAAUGCAUGUGUUUGAUUGGAUAUUUUGAAAAAUUCGAUAAAAUUGCCUGCAUUUCUACUGGUUAUUUUGAAAGUUUUGGCAAAAUUACAUACAGACAUACUAGAUUUUCCAAAAAAAAAUACUGGUAGAAGAAACUUUUGAGAUGGUUAACUGAAUAUUUCGAAAAAUCCAGGAAACCAUGUUGAUUUCUGAAUUUUUAAAAAAUAUGGUAGAUUAUAUUUCAUCAUUUUUUCCCUUGAAGAAUAAAGGAUCAGACAGGAUGAUUGUGUCUAGGCAACGUGACAAAGCUGCAAAUAGGGUUCGUGUGAGGGAAGAUAACAUCGAGGACUACUAUGUUCGAGCGAGAAGAGUAGCACCGAGUGAUUCUCACAAGAGGCAGCUUGCCAAUUAUAUGAGUUUAUUUUAGGUUUAUAAAUUUAUUAUUUCUUACUAUCUUCAUUCCUUUAUAUAAGAGACAAUUCAUUUUUUAAGUUCAUUGAAUAACUAAUGUAUUUAGUCGGUUUAUAUACUAGAUACACUGAUUAUUCAAUGAAUCCAAAAAGUGAGUUGUCUUUUAUAUAAAGGAACAAAGUUAGUAUUAAUUUAGUUCUUAUUUAUGAAAUUUGUUAAUUUUCCUAGGUUCUUGUGUAGUGUUGGAUAUACAAGCAUUUCCCAUCCAUUUGUGAGAGGCGGGUUAUUCCUACCACAACUGGCUUCACACAGGCCAAGAGAUGGAAGGCCAGACAUGCACACCCAAAUGGUAUUUUGGAGUACAUGAAAAGAAUUAAUAUGUUGACUAUAAAUGAUGUCAUCAUAACACUCCACACAGACCAUAUAGUGCAUCUGGAGUUUGAUGACACUUCCCUUUUUCUGGUAAUCUGCCAUGGAAGACCUUAGUGGCUAGACACUUACUUGAGAGGUGUAUGCGUUAGUUUGGGUAUGUCCAGGACAUCCCACAACCAUUCCUUGUUCCAUCUGAGGGCAUUGAUAGAUGGCUUAUGGGUAAUGUUGUUAGCUCUGCCCAUACCAUUGCAGAUCAUGCAGUGGAGGCGUAAUUCCCUGUGUUAUGUAUGAAUGGCUACUUAGAGUGGUACCUUACUGUAUCACACUCUCAUAUCAUUCCACCAAUUAAGCAUGUAGAUGGUGUUAGACCUUCUUAUGUUGGGGGGUCUUUUGAUGACGUGCCACGACCUCCACCUAUGUGGAUGACCAGUAGAGUAUAUAAAUGAUGACAUUCAUUAUGGAUAACCUCAUGGGUUUUGUAAACCUAGAUGAUGAGGUUUAUACUUUUGUAUUGCAUACAACACACAUAGCCCGUGGGGGACUUGUGUAGACAUUAUUAUUACUUUUUUUAUUAUUUGUAUAUUAUUUGUAUUAUUAUUUGUAUUAUUUUCACCGUGCAAUUAUUCGAUAACACUUCAUCACUUUCAUUAUGAUGGGAUUAACAUAACUUAACACUUGACAAUUAACAUAACCUAACAGAUGACAAUUGACAUAACUUAACACAGACAAUUACAUAACUUAAAAAAACAAUAAUAAAUAACAAAAGUUAGACACUAUAGAUGAUUCUGGAUGUUUCAAUAUCUUAAUUAUAUCAUCGACAGAUCUAGUGAUUGUCGCAUCAACUCGACUGAUCCCUUUGUUAGCCUGUGAUGAAAUGUUCUCCAUAUAACCUUCAAAUCUUCAUUAAUCUCCAACUCAAUUUUUUGUAUUUCACAUUUCCUUUAGUGUGAAUCCAUGGUGCACGAAACUUGAUCUUACCCACCUUUCCGUUCUCGGCGAGAGGUAGCAGAUUAACUAAUAAGGAUCUUAGAACAACGAUAGUGGUGGUGUCCUUGGGUAGCUAAAAAUCAAUAAGAGACUUCACACCGUUGAAGGACACAACUGCCAUAACAAAUAUUGAGACAUUAUAAGAUGUUUUUUUAACAACACAUGAUCCAUAUUUAUACAAUUUUGGAUUCAUUAUGGAUAACAGACAAUUUUCAGUGCAAUCACAAUCAUACAAAACUGUCGUCAAAAUCUCAACCGUUGAAAAUUACACUACCAGGUUUUUUGAAGCCCUUCUAAAAGUCUGGUAAAUGCACAAGAUUUUUUAAAAAUCGAUGAUUUUACACUACCAUAUUUUUCAACUUUUUGGAAAAAAAAUUGAUACGCAAUGGUGUUUUCUAAAAAAUUGACAUGUUUUUGCAUCCACCGUUUUUUUAACUUGUAAAAAUGCAUUACCAGAUUUUUCUACUCAUGCGGGAUUUUAAACUUGUAUACCGAAUUUUUGUGCGCUCUUGAUAACCCACAUUUUGUGAGUUAUUACAUACCUUAAUCUUUCUUUAUUACUAGUUAAAUUUCUCUUUAGUUGAAUUUUGUUAGCUCAUUUAAGAUGUUUUUAUAGUAAUUUGCUUGGGUAUGUGCUCCUUUUAUUUGUUUUGAUGUGUUUUUUCUUGAUUUAAGGGUUGCUCUGUCGAGUUGAGGAAAGACUGUAGUGGACAGUGCAUGGGAGUGCAAACUGAAGCAAAAAGAUGAACUCGAUUAAGGGAGAAAAAUAGAGAAGACAGAUGGGUUCCUAGGGUAAACAUGGAAGGAUUGAUGCAUUAGAGGUAUCAAGACUCUUAAAGGAGAAACAAGAAUCUUAUUGAAUUCUUUAGCAAGAGGUAUUAUGCUAAAAAUAUCUGAUAUGGAGGUAUAUGAGUUGAUCGAGACUAUGGCCUAGAAUGAGUAUCAUGCAAUAUCAGACAGAUAUGUUAGAAGAAGAAGGAAAUUUUUUGACACUUAAAACACAUUCUUAGAAAGCUACAAACAAAUAAAAGCACAAUUGGAUUCCCUGACCAAACAACUAACAGGUCCCCAAAGGGGAUUUGAUCAAGUAAAGUAGAUAUAACAAUCUCUAAUUUGUAAUUACUGUGAUGAUGGUCAUGAUAAUGGCCAAUACACAUUAGAAGUAUUCCCCGAUGAAGAAGCUAAUUUCAUGCGGAAAUUUUAAAGAAAUAAUCAUUUCUCUACAAACAAUCCUGCAUGAAGAAACCACCUGAAUUUCAGAUGGAGUGACAAUCAAGGUCAAGGUUUGAAUCAAGCCCAAUAAUUAACAACAACAACAACACGAAGAUCAGUCUCAAAAACAUAAAUAGGCAAGAAAAUAUUUUCAAAUUAAGGAUGCCUUGAGCCAGUUCGUACAAGUUACAAAGGACUAUUUUAAAAACAUGCAGCUUGGCCAAGAAACUUCAAAUAAGAAUAAUGAACUGUCAAUAAAUAAAUUGGAAACACAAAUUGACUAAUUAUCCAAACAAAAUGCAGCUAUGUCUACCAACAAAUAUGAAGGGAAUACAAUGGGUAAUUCCAAUAAAAAUAAGAUAUGUUAUGUUAUAAUUUUGAGAAAAAGUAUGUUUUCUAAAAUGGAAAAAUGUUCUGCAUUACCAUAAAAAUCAUUAGAUAAGAUUGAUGUUAAAAUGGAAUGUAGGGUUGGAGAGGAAGAAAAAAUAGUGAGCAGAGUUGAAAAAGGCGAGGAAAAGAAAAAAGAGUGUGGAGUGACAAGAGUGAUUAGGGAAGAUAAAAUUAAAGAGAAAUAAAUUACAACUCUUAUAUAGCUAAUGUGUCCACCACUAAAGAAAAAGGAUCCUACAGAAAGCCAAUACAAAAAACAAUCCUUGAACUAUUCAACAAUAUACAUAUAAACAUCCAUUUUUCAGAAGCAUUUCAACAAAUUUCAGAAUAUGCGAGUAAUUAUAAAGAGCUUCUAACAAAAGUUAGAAUUCUUAUAAGUAAAUAAAAAUUAACCUAUAAUAAGGGUGCAAUGCUAUCAACCAAAGGAAGCUUCCACGAAAGUUACCAUAUCCAAAAAGCUUUAUUAUUUCUUGUAUCAUAGGAAACCUACAUAUUCCAUGAUCAUUAAGUGAUUUAGGGAAAGUGUCACUUUGACAUUUCUCUCAAUAAUAAAGAAAUUGGGUGAAGAAGAAAAGUCAACUAACAUGAAGCUAACAUUGGUAACCAUGUCAUAUAUAUUCUCUCAUGGGAUAAUAGAGAAUGCGAUAUACUCAAAAUGUGGAACUUUAUUUACCUAGUUGGAUUUUUAUUUCUUGAUAAUGAAGAAGAAGCAGAGAUCUAUAUAACUUUGGGUAGGCCUUUUCUAUGAAUUGCGAGAGCUAAUUUUAAUUUAGAAACAGGCGAGAUCAGACCAAAAUUUUGAAAAGAGAAUAUUAUCAUUAAAUUGUAUGAUGGUUUGAAAUAAUGUGAAGAAGGUCCAACAUAGUGUAAUGUAAAAAUGAAACAAAAAUAAAAGUUUUAAAAAAUAUCCCCCAUUUUCAACUAGAGAAAAGGAGAAAUAAAAACGGAUUUACAAUAUUUACCCACUAAAGGAAGAAGAGGAAGAUAGCAUCAAUGGUGAAACAUCAAUUCAAAAUAGGGAUAUAUUUAGAGUUAAAAAGGCAUGGUUUUAAAAGAUAAAGAAGCAAAGAAUUGAGAUGAAUCAGAUAUCCCAUAAUGGAUAAAUCUUCCAUACCUAGUUGCACCAAAGAAAAAAGCUAAACUAGGAAUUAUUGUAUGAAGAAACGAGAAUAUUGAUGGUAGGAAUAAAUGGAAGUACUAUUCCUAACUAGUGAGGUGAGACAUCAAGCUAAUGACGUAAAAUUAGCGUUGGGUGGGAGGCAACCCUUCAAACAAUAUUUUUUUAAAAUUUUUUGUCAUGUUGAUUUAGAGUAAACCAAAUUUUUGAGAAAAUUAACAUAUAAGUAAGUUUUGGGAAGAAUUGAGAAUUGGAUGAAAAUUUCCAAAAAAAAAACGUGGUUUUAGUAAGAAUAGUUUCAUUCUACAAGCUAGAAACUUUGAUUAGGAUACUUUAUCUGAUCACCCCCAUUGCACUUGAAAAUCUUAAAUCUAGAAGGUGGAAGUCAUAUAAUGAAAUUUUGGGGGAAAUGACCAACCUCGCCAUUGGGUCUAACUUCUAUGCAAAAAUGUAUGAAUCCAAUAGAGACCAAAAAUAUUUUGUGCGAGGAAAGGUGGUUGAUUAUAUCGUUAGCACUAUUAAUAGAGUCUUUCGACUUAAAGAGCCUUGUGUGUGUGUGUGUAUGUGUACGUGUGUGCGUCUGUGUGUGUAUACGUCUGUGUGUGUACGUAUGUGUGUGUAUGUGCGCGUGUGUGUGUGGGGGGGGGGCUGUGUACGCGUCUGUGUGCAUGUCUGUGUGUGUGGUGUGUGUGUGUGUGUGGUACGCGCGUGUGCAUGCGUGUGUCUCUGUGUGUGUGUGUGUGUUGCGCGCGUGUGCAUGUGUGUGGUGUAUGUGCACCGUGUGUAUGUGUGUGUGUGUGUGUGGGGGUGCGUGUAUGUGUGUGCGCGUGUGCGUGUGUUUAUGUGCGUGCGCGUGUGUGCGUUUGUGAGUGUGUGUGUGUGUGUACGUGUGUGUUGUGUGUCUGUGUGCGCGUCUGUGUGUGCGUGUAGUGUUGUGUGUGCAUUUGUGCGUGCGUGUGUGUGUGUGUGUGUGUGUGUGUGUGUGUGUGUGUGUGUGUGUGUGUGUGUGUGUGUGAGAGAGAGAGAGAGAGAGUUGAAUAUACAUGAGCAUGAUUGAGAUCUUUUGAUUUAUCCAUAUUGAGGUAUGAGAAUAGAAGUAGAAAUUGAUAAGGAUCAUGAAAGUACUCUUGUGAGUAGCAUCAAACUUAGAUAUUAUCAUCAAAGCAGGUAAAUUCUUAUGUUUUUCUUAAAAAUAUCAAUUUUCAAGCUUUUUCUUUGAGGGCAAGAAAUUGUUCAAGUUUGGAAUUGUGAUGACAGUUCGCUACAACAUGUUUUUAGUAUGGUUUAGAUUCAAUUUAUGUGCUUUUUCUUUUAAUUUGUUUUUUUAGGAUUUAAUCAAUAUUCCAAAAAAAUAUGGAAAAGAGCAAUUCAAGUUGAAAUUAUUCUAAGCAGACAAAUUCUAUGGUAUUUAUUGUGGAUGUUAUGCUGAAAAAAUAAGGAGAUGACUCACAUGUAAGAAACGGAAGAAAAAGAAAAGAAAUUUCUAGAAACACAAGAAACAUAUUACGACUAUUCAACGGAGCAAUAUGAUUCGAACUUUGAAAGAAAAAAAAUCAGCAUAAGAAUAAAUUUUCCUCGCCCAUAGUAUAACAUCACUUUCACAAAGCAAGAACAACUCGUUUAAUUAGAUAACGAAAUGCCAUGUCAGACACAUAGUUAAAAUCGCGGCGAGCCCUUAGGGCAUAUAAGCAUGAUUAUGCAAUCAUAUUUCUAAAUAUAGUAACAUAUGCUUAGUCAUUAGGGUUCUGAAUUUUAUGAUAAAGAAUGCAUAUUCUGAAGCAAGUGAGUAUGGAAAAAUGCAAGCUAUCAUUGAUGAAUCAUCCCAAAUUAUUUGUAAGGAUAAUUUCUCUCUUUCUAUUGGAUUGGUCAUGAAUCACAUAAGAAAGAGUGACUAGUUUUCUUAUAUUAGAUCCCUUUAAAUGAAUUUUCCCCUAAUAAUGUGAAUGAUGCGAUACAUUUAGAUUUACUCUCUAUAAUGAAACUCUUCUUAUAGAUAUUCAAUGUUAUUUUGUGUAUAAUGUUUUCUUGCGUCUACGAUAUUGGGGAAUUGAUAUAGAUAGAAAUGAUUUCAAUGAUAAAUUUAUCAUAAUUAAAUAAUGUUGUAGGGUUGUUUAUGAUUGCUAGACAUAGAGCAUACCAGUUGUGACAUUAGGUAUUUUACGUUCGAUCAGACCUUCAUCGGUUGUGAAUUUCCCCAAGGACAUUGGAGGAGAUUGUAAUCACACGAAGCAAGUUACACAAUGAUGAAAUUGUUCGUAACUAUUUUUUAAAAUAGUAGUGAUAUCAGAAGACUCAUUAUAAGUUAAACCAGAGAUUAACCACAUGAAAAAGACAAAGAAUUCUAAGAGUGGACUUAAACGUUUAUCUAUUAUAAGUGCUAACAGUUAGUUUACUUAACUAGUUUUAUGUAAGAUUUCCGCAAUGGAUACAAUAUAGAAUUUUAAAUUUACUCAUCACUUGUAAUUUUUGUUGGCAAAACUUUUAUACUACACGUUGAUUUUUACAACAUUGAUCCUAUCAAUACUUAUUUUCAACUCUUUCUUCAACUUUGACUGACAAAUUUUCCCCUAAAACACUCAGAUUCCAAUGAUGUUUCUUGUUGGCUUCCUAUGAUCAUAAUAACAUUUUUCCAAAACACUCGUAUUCGUAUUGAUGUUUUUUUGUUGACACAUGCAUCACUAACAACAUUUUUCCACUCCGUAUUGCACACCACUUAAGCCUAGUUACUACACCAAUUCACUAGUUUUCGGUUAGGGUUCAUAAUGUAUCUCAUUUACAAUGUCAAUGCAUUUGUAAUAGUGUCCAGUGAUUGUCAUAAUCAUAAUAAUGAUGUAGAGAUGACAUCAAAUAGAAAUCAUUUUUGAUAGUAUUCUCACCAUUAAGAUUUUCACUACACAUUGAGCAUUUUUCAACAAAAUUAACAAAAGUUAGAUGUAAUCUCUAAAUCGAAGUAGUAUCUUUGUGCUAUAGUGGGAAAUUUAAGUUUGAAGGAUUAUUUUUACCAUAAAUCCACAUGUUUGUGAUCUUAAACCUCGUAAGUUAAGGAGGGAAAUCAUAGAUAUUUUUAAAAUGAUGAUUUUUUUUUUAGCUAUGGUUGAAAUCAAACAUUGGUAUCUCUAUCUUUUGUAUUAAAAAUGAAACAAUCUUUGUUAUCUUGGGACAUAUUACUUUCAUAGAGAUAUUUAGUUUUCAAAAGUUAGAGUCAAAAGUUUAUUUUCUUAUUAAAAUAAGCUCCAAACAAAUUUUUCUAACAAUUGUUUUACAAUUAGACCGGACGAAUCCCUUAACCGCUUAUAUUUUUAAACUUAAUAAUCUUAUUCCAACCAACAAUAUGUAUGGAGCAAUCCAAUUUCCCAUGUCAAACAAAAUUUGUCACAAACUUAUCAAAGGUAUCGCAAGCGUAUAAAGGAAACUAACAAAUUUGCAUACAAUAAGUAGUUAUAGAUGUAAGAACGGCCUUGACAAGAGUAACUCCACAUGACUUGUUCAACCGUCUAUAUUUCCAAGAAACAAGCUUUGAGGUUACGUUAUCAUAGACUUCUAAGAAAUCUGCUUUCUAUGUGCAUUCAACUAAGUUCACAGUCAUGUUGGCAUUCAAUGGCGGCGUUCAUAGAAGAAACAAUUGCGUGAAAAGUAGUGAACGGAACCACUAUCGCAUGAGAGAUCAAUAAUUGAAAUUUAAAAUUUUCAUCAAAAUCGGUUUAGAACCAAAUCCAAACUAAUUUAAACUUUCAUCAAAAUCGGUUUUCUGAAAUAAUGGUUUGAUUUUUUAACCUUAAUUUAAGAGAAUGAAACGUCAAAGAGCAUUUUAAAUCUAAAUACAUGACACACAUAUAGCAACAUGUAAUUCGAUGAGUAUAUCUUUAAUAUCUAUAAUUUAAAAGCUCAAAAUAAACAUUCAGUCUUAGACAAAUACAAGUCAUGAUGACAAUUUCAUACCACAUAAUUCCUCCAUAGUCUUUAGACGAUGGGAAAAGAUACACACAUGUAAUUAUUCAUGAACACAACAUGUGCUUCAAUAUAAUACAUAUAAUCAUGAGGUACAAAUUAAAACACAAAUUAACAAACACAUUUAAUAAGAAUAUAGUACAUAGAUUUCAUGAACUUUUUAAGGUAGUUAUGGCUUAGGCACAGUUGGAACAGUAAGCAACUAUGGCUUUGGAAUUGUUGGCAAUGUAGGAAGAGUAGGUAGUGUUGGAAGAGUAGGUAGUGUUGGUAGAGUAGGAAGUGUUGGUAGUGUUGGUAGAGUAGGAAGUGUUGGUAGAGUAAGUUUGGAAACUUGAUGUAUGUUUUGAAGGUUACGUGCUCCUUCAACAUUUGUCAAUGAAGAAAAAGUUAUGAGAAGAAGAAGUGGUAUAAUGAAUGGCAAAACAUUCAUGGAAGCCAUUUUUUUUUAAAACUAGAAAGAUUAGUAUUAUGUCUAUAUGAUGACAGUUUUGAUGUGUUUGAGGUAAUGGUUUACUAUAUGUCUUGUGGCCUUUUAUAGACAAAAGUUUUGUGUAUCAUGGGAUUUGUG
rnacentral:lncRNA from 1 species